rnacentral:rRNA from 1 species
ACUCGAGUGGCGAACGGGUGAGUAACACGUGGGUGAUCUGCCCUGCACUCUGGGAUAAGCCUGGGAAACUGGGUCUAAUACCGGAUAGGACCAUGCUUUAGUGUGUGUGGUGGAAAGUUUUUCGGUGUAGGAUGAGCCCGCGGCCUAUCAGCUUGUUGGUGGGGUAAUGGCCUACCAAGGCGGCGACGGGUAGCCGGACUGAGAGGUUGGUCGGCCACAUUGGGACUGAGAUACGGCCCAG